UUCUGAUAAUUCUCUGUUUGUGCUAAAAUUAAAGGUUGUGGAUCUCUAUGGUUGAGUUUCUGACUGGAGGAAUCAUUCCCAGAUCGCGAGCUUGCAUCUACACAGAAGUCCAUCUGCCGCACAGUUGGUAGUGGGAAAUGAAAAUUGUACUGUUAUUUUAUUGCAGCUAUGGCCUCCGAAAGACAACAUUCAUGUAUGAGCAAGAGGGGGGUUACUGACGAAUUAUAGUCAUAAUCUAGUUGAAUUUCGAAACCAUUUAGCUGAAAGGGUAUUCGAAGAUGGGUUUUUCUCCGUCUUCCUCUUGGGUCAUGUCAUCAAAGGACAUUUUUUUUUUGCAGACCCACUUCAAAUCGAAUAGAUGGAAACUACCGACUCAUCUCUUGGAAGGAUCUAAUCUUUAUUUCUGGAUUGCAAUCAUUCCAAUUGUGGUUAGUACAUAUAAUACUCAUCUCUUUUUCAGUUUCAGUUGUCACAUGUUCAUAAAAACUAACUAAACUAAUUGCAGCUGCAACAGAAUUAUGCUUAACGAAUCCACCAUAAUUAAAAAUCUAAGCAAAGGAUUAUUCAACUAUUUUGCUUAAGAAUUUUCGGUUCACUGUCCCAAUAAAUGAAUAUUAAAUUGGCUUUAAUUUGAAAAAAAAAAAAAUCCAUUGCAAGAGUAGAGCAAAACCACAAUCUUUUUACUUACUUUUUUUGCUUUGAGUCCCUUUCCUUCUCUAAAUCCCAAUUUUUAACUUCAUUUCAAAGGCCAUUACAUUGCAAAUGCCUCUUAUUUUUUCAUUGAAGUAUACAUCUUAAGUUGGAACAGGGGAAAUCCAUUCUGGUCAAUCAUCCAGCCAACAAAGAUUUACUCCAACUCCUUUCAAAGUCUUAAUCACAUUUCGCAAAAGUUCAUUACUUUCUUCUUGAACGAUUGGAUUGCCGAUCACUAAAUCUUAUCUCAUUUUCGAGAAUGUACCUUUUUCUAGAAAGCACUUGAUUUCAAUUCUUCUUGACAAAAAUUAAUUGUUUCGAUUAACACUGUCUAAUUGGAUUAGUAUUGUUCCAACAUUAGAUUUCAAAAAUUUCUGUGGAAAAGAAACUUAUCUUCUGGGGAUAUUCUUGGGUAUGCAAGGUUUGAAAUAAUUUGGGUUUUAUUUGUUGGAAGGUGAAUAAGGCUGAAGCUAAUUUGAUUAGAAAAAAUUGAGAAUUAAGAAAGUUUUGAAAGAACAAGAAGAAGAAGACUGACACGUGAUAGAAUUUGAAUCAAGAGGAGGAAGAAAGUCGGUAGCUCAAUGUAAAAACUAAAAUCAAUCCCUCUUCAACAAUGGCAGCGGAGACAACGACGACCACCAGAUCGGAGUACUAUACGCUCGGUACUUCCGUCAAGGCAGCUCUGGUUUAUCUCGGAACAGCGUUGGUGAAGCUGGUUUGUUUGGAAAAUAUUCUGAAGGUAUCUGACAAUGAGAGCUUCGAUCCGUAUAAGGUAUUUUCUAUAUUUGUUUCAGUUGAAAUGUAUCAUUGUUUGGAUUAAAACUUGAUUUUUGGCCCAAGGAUGGAGUCGGCCCAAAAGGAGGCCUGGAGGAAUAGAAGAUCAAGGCCCGGCCGAAACUGAGGAAAGCAGGAAAGGGCCUUUUUCUGACUUGAUACAAUUCAUAAGGGCCACUUGCCCACCUACCCAAGGAUCAAGUGGUGUAGACUGGUCAGACUGCACAGCCCAUAAAGUACUUUAUGGUGGCAUUACAUGUAAUAAAGCUGAUAAGUCAUCACCUUCAGACCGCAUUCGGGCAAAGCUGUCGCUACAGGAGCCAAACCGAGUCGUCUAUAAAAGGAGGAAGAGAAGACAGGAAUAAACACACUCAAACAAACAAACAAAAGUACAAACUCUGCUAAAAAAGCCAGAUUUGCCUUUCAAAACGAAGCUGUAGUCAGCCCAAGCCUUCAUCCUCCACGGGAUAAUUUUCUCUCCCAACCUCUGUAAUAGCUCUGCUACCUUGUUCGAACUUGUUGUAGUAUCGAUUCACCUUUUGUAUUCUCUUUUCCCCUCUCCCCCUCUAAACUUUCAGACCUUUGAUAGAACUACAAAGAUAGGGACCUGCAAGACGAUCAGCCUUACUUGAUAAGGUUUAAUCUUGCCCGACCUGCUUUGCUCUGUCUUUGUCUUCUCUUUCUUUAAAGUCUAGCAGUAUGUUGUAUAUUU